AUGUUAUUGGUCCAUACACAUAUUUAUCAGAUGUUAUUGGUCCAUACACAUAUUUAUCAGAUGUUAUUGGUCACAUACACAUAUUUAGCAGAUGUUAUUGGUCCAUAUUUAACAGAUGUUAUUGGUCCAUACACAUAUUUAGCAGAUGUUACUGGUCCAUACACAUAUUUAACAGAUGUUAUUGGUCCAUAUUUAACAGAUGUUAUUGGUCCAUAUUUAACAGAUGUUAUUGGUCCAUAUUUAACAGAUGUUAUUGGUCCAUACACAUAUUUAGCAGAUGUUACUGGUCCAUACACAUAUUUAACAGAUGUUAUUGGUCCAUAUUUAACAGAUGUUAUUGGUCCAUAUUUAUCAGAUGUUAUUGGUCCAUACACAUAUUUAACAGAUGUUAUUGGUCCAUACACAUGUUUAGCAGAUGUUAUUGGUCCAUAUUUAACAGAUGUUAUUGGUCCAUACACAUAUUUAUCAGAUGUUAUUGGUCCAGACACAUAUUUAACAGAUGUUAUUGGUCCAUACACAUGUUUAGCAGAUGUUAUUGGUCCAUACACAUAUUUAACAGAUGUUAUUGGUCCAUACACAUAUUUAACAGAUGUUAUUGGUCCAUAUUUAACAGAUGUUAUUGGUCCAUAUUUAACAGAUGUUAUUGGUCCAUAUUUAACAGAUGUUAUUGGUCCAUAUUUAACAGAUGUUAUUGGUCCAUACACAUAUUUAACAGAUGUUAUUGGUCCAUAUUUAACAGAUGUUAUUGGUCCAUAUUUAACAGAUGUUAUUGGUCCAUAUUUAACAGAUGUUAUUGGUCCAUACACAUAUUUAACAGAUGUUAUUGGUCCAUAUUUAACAGAUGUUAUUGGUCCAUUUUUAACAGAUGUUAUUGGUCCAUAUUUAGCAGAUGUUAUUGGUCCAUAUUUAACAGAUGUUAUUGGUCCAUAUUUAACAGAUGUUAUUGGUCCAUACACAUAUUUAACAGAUGUUAUUGGUCCAUACACAUAUUUAGCAGAUGUUAUUGGUCCAUACACAUGUUUAUCAGAUGUUAUUGGUCCAUAUUUAGCAGAUGUUAUUGGUCCAUAUUUAACAGAUGUUAUUGGUCCAUAUUUAACAGAUGUUAUUGGUCCAUACACAUAUUUAGCAGAUGUUAUUGGUCCAUACACAUGUUUAUCAGAUGUUAUUGGUCCAUAUUUAGCAGAUGUUAUUGGUCCAUAUUUAACAGAUGUUAUUGGUCCAUAUUUAACAGAUGUUAUUGGUCCAUACACAUAUUUAACAGAUGUUAUUGGUCCAUACACAUAUUUAACAGAUGUUAUUGGUCCAUAUUUACCAGAUGUUACUGGUCCAUAUUUAACAGAUGUUAUUGGUCCAUAUUUAACAGAUGUUAUUGGUCCAUAUUUAACAGAUGUUAUUGGUCCAUACACAUAUUUAACAGAUGUUAUUGGUCCAUACACAUGUUUAGCAGAUGUUAUUGGUCCAUACACAUAUUUAACAGAUGUUAUUGGUCCAUAUUUAACAGAUGUUAUUGGUCCAUAUUUAACAGAUGUUAUUGGUCCAUAUUUAACAGAUGUUAUUGGUCCAUACACAUAUUUAACAGAUGUUAUUGGUCACAUACACAUAUUUAACAGAUGUUAUUGGUCCAUAUUUAACAGAUGUUAUUGGUCCAUAUUUAUCAGAUGUUAUUGGUCCAUACACAUAUUUAUCAGAUGUUAUUGGUCCAUACACAUAUUUAUCAGAUGUUAUUGGUCCAUACACAUAUUUAUCAGAUGUUAUUGGUCCAUACACAUAUUUAACAGAUGUUAUUGGUCCAUAUUUAACAGAUGUUAUUGGUCCAUACACAUAUUUAACAGAUGUUAUUGGUCCAUACACAUAUUUAACAGAUGUUAUUGCAGGUGUAGUGAAAUGCCAUCUUACGUCGUCAUGUCCCUGAUUGAAGAACCCGGCACACAAUACAUCUGGUCCUUGUGUACUAUAGAGUCCAGAUAG
ensembl:lncRNA